rnacentral:rRNA from 1 species
GACGAACGCUGGCGGCGUGCUUAACACAUGCAAGUCGAACGGAAAGGCCCUGCUUUUGUGGGGUGCUCGAGUAGCGAACGGGUGAGUAACACGUGAGUAACCUGCCCUUGACUUUGGGAUAACUUCAGGAAACUGGGGCUAAUACCGGAUAGGAGCUCCUGCUGCAUGGUGGGGGUUGGAAAGUUUCGGCGGUUGGGGAUGGACUCGCGGCUUAUCAGCUUGUUGGUGGGGUAGUGGCUUACCAAGGCUUUGACGGGUAGCCGGCCUGAGAGGGUGACCGGCCACAUUGGGACUGAGAUACGGCCCAGACUCCUACGGGAGGCAGCAGUGGGGAAUAUUGCACAAUGGGCGGAAGCCUGAUGCAGCAACGCCGCGUGCGGGAUGACGGCCUUCGGGUUGUAAACCGCUUUCGCCUGUGACGAAGCGUGAGUGACGGUAAUGGGUAAAGAAGCACCGGCUAACUACGUGCCAGCAGCCGCGGUGAUACGUAGGGUGCGAGCGUUGUCCGGAUUUAUUGGGCGUAAAGGGCUCGUAGGUGGUUGAUCGCGUCGGAAGUGUAAUCUUGGGGCUUAACCCUGAGCGUGCUUUCGAUACGGGUUGACUUGAGGAAGGUAGGGGAGAAUGGAAUUCCUGGUGGAGCGGUGGAAUGCGCAGAUAUCAGGAGGAACACCAGUGGCGAAGGCGGUUCUCUGGGCCUUUCCUGACGCUGAGGAGCGAAAGCGUGGGGAGCGAACAGGCUUAGAUACCCUGGUAGUCCACGCUGUAAACGGUGGGUACUAGGUGUGGGGUCCAUUCCACGGGUUCCGUGCCGUAGCUAACGCUUUAAGUACCCCGCCUGGGGAGUACGGCCGCAAGGCUAAAACUCAAAGGAAUUGACGGGGCCCCGCACAAGCGGCGGAGCAUGCGGAUUAAUUCGAUGCAACGCGUAGAACCUUACCUGGGUUUGACAUGGAUCGGGAGUGCUCAGAGAUGGGUGUGCCUCUUUUGGGGUCGGUUCACAGGUGGUGCAUGCCUGUCGUCAGCUCGUGUCGUGAGAUGUUGGGUUAAGUCCCGCAACGAGCGCAACCCUUGUUCACUGUUGCCAGCACGUUAUGGUGGGGACUCAGUGGAGACCGCCGGGGUCAACUCGGAGGAAGGUGGGGAUGACGUCAAGUCAUCAUGCCCCUUAUGUCCAGGGCUUCACGCAUGCUACAAUGGCUGGUACAGAGAGUGGCGAGCCUGUGAGGGUGAGCGAAUCUCGGAAAGCCGGUCUCAGUUCGGAUUGGGGUCUGCAACUCGACCUCAUGAAGUCGGAGUCGCUAGUAAUCGCAGAUCAGCAACGCUGCGGUGAAUACGUUCCCGGG